CACCGAGGAACAGGAGAGGCCAGGCUCCUACCCCCUGCAGAUGGCACAAACUUCCCGAGGCCUCACCCCAUCCCCCCAAUGCACAGAAACACUUUGCCAACCUCUGGACUAGACUGAGUAAAGCAAGCAGAAAGAUCCAAUUUUAAAAAGAGGUGAGGAAAAUGGGACAACUUGGCUAUGGAGAGAGCAAGAAGAAUGCAACUGAUGUGCACAAAGUUUGAAGACAAAGUUACUCAGUUUAGAUCAGGGGUCCACAACCCCCAGCCAUGGACCAGUACUGAUUUGUGGCCUGUUAGGAACUCAGUUGCAGUAGGAGGUGAAUGCCAGGUGAGUGAGGGAAGCUUCAACUUUAUUUAAAGUCACUCCGCAUUGCUCUUGUUACCACCUGAGCUCCACCUUCUGUCACAUCAGCUGCAUUAGAUUCUCAUAGGAAUGUAAACCCUAUAGUGAACUGCACUUGCAAGGGUUGCAUGCACCUUUUGAGAAUCUAAUGCCUAAUGAUCUGUCACAGUCUCCCAUCAUCUCCAGAUGGAACUGUGCAGUUGCAGGAAAACAAGCUCAGGGCUCCUGCUGAUUCUACAUUAUGGUGAGUUGUAUAAUUAUUUCAUUAUAUAUUGCAAUGUAAUAAUAAUAGAAAUAAAGUGCACAAUAAAUAUAAUGCACUCGAAUUAUCCCAAAACCAUUACCCCCACUGCGCCCAGUCUGUGGAAAAAUUGUCUUCCAUGAAACCAGUCCCUGGUGCCAAAAAGUCUGGGGGCUGCUGAUUUAGAUCACAUUGGUUUCAAGUAAUGGGGAUUAAACUAAGUAAGCCAAAGGAGAGCAUUUAUUUUAAAUAUACAUGAAUAUAAUAUUAACCCCAAAGAGAAGGGAAGACAAGAAAACAGCAACUGAAAAGUCUUCAGAAUUUUAUUCUUCAAUUAUAUAUUCCUCUGAGAAUUUGUGUCAUUUGUCACUGUCAUUGCCAUCACUGUUCUCUGAAGACUGACUGUCUUGCUAUUUAUUUUGUAAAAAUAUGGCUUCCUAAUAUACUUCUUUUCAUAUUGAGAUGAGAGGUUUUCCUGACUACCCCUCUUGCAGAACAUGUGACAGGGAUAUGGUUCACCUGUUCAGCCUCCGUGUGCACUCAAACCCUUUACAAGAAGGGGAGCACAGACAUGGGUAAGGUGCAGGAGCUGGGGAAAGUGCCCCAGUGCUCCUGGGUUCCAGCCCUGUGGCAGCAUCCAGGAGUGGGAGCCCAUGACCCCCAAAGCCCACGUGGGCAUGUGUUACAGGGUGUUUUUUUAGCCUUACUUUCUGUGGACAGCUUAAGUGUUAAACAGCUCAGUGCCUUCUUGGUACCCAGGUCCUUGUCCAGCAUCCAAGAAGAAUUGGGUUACAAAUGGACUUAAAGGAUGAAUGUGGUGGUUUUACUCAGUGCUGGAGGUGACUCUCAGCAGGAUGGAUGGGGAGAUGGAAGGGGGUUGGAGUGGAAAGAUGAUCUUCACCUGGAGUUUGGCCAUGGAGCCGCCAAUCUCCUCUCUGAUCAUCCCCAGCGAAACUCCUCUUGGUAUUCAGCCACUCCUUCUCUUCUUUCCUUCUCUGCCAUGCUGUUCUGCAAUUCUUCGAUUUUCUGUUCAUCUCCUCAUCUGCUUCUGGAGCCUGGGGUCUGGGGUUUAUAUGGGUACAGGAUAGGGGGGUGUGUUGGGUCAGAAGGCAACUUUUGGAUGCAAAAACAGAAAUGCCUCUUCUCACUUCAGGCCACGGGUUUUCAGGCUUGAGGGUGGUGCCUUUUCUGAGGAACUGCCCUCUUUUACACAGUAUUUCCUCUCUCCUGUCCGUGUCAACAUGCAGACACUGAAGAGCUAUAAAAUCCACGUACAAAUGUCUGGAAGAGAGAAUAUUGUUGGCCUAUCUUGAGUUGGUGUCUGUUUCCUUGGGUAUUCAAUGAAAACUGAGUGACAAAGUAUAAUUCUGGCUACCAGGAGCUAGCCCUGUGAAUCAGAAAUCCAUUAAAAGUGUUUAACAGAAACUGGGCAAACGCUUCCCUCCUCCACAUCAAAAAUAAAUUGGAACCUUUGGCAGAAACCUAGUGUACUCAUUAACUAUCACCCGCACCCUGGGCACAUAGAGUAAAACACUACUCCUUCCACAACAAAGAGGAUUAAUUUUCCCGUAUUAAAAGAUGUAUCCUUUUCCAGCAAAGCUCUGAAGCCUACACACUCAAAGGUCAGACACAUAAUGUAGUUGAGGACCUAGUUGAAGAAUGCCUGAUAUCAAUCAUAUGGGCAAUUAGGAGGAGAAGGAGGAUGGUGUAUACAUGGGAGCUCAAAGGGGCCUGCAGGUAGGAGAUAGCCUGUCCUGAGCUCUAGCCAACUAUUGCCCUCCAGGAAUGCAAGCUGUGUCACCAGACCUUCCGAUUUUUCUGGAGACUCCUGGAUUCAGAUCCUUACAUUAAAUUUUUCUAUUUAAAAAUGAUAGGAAAUCAUUCAAAUAAAAGUUAUUAGGUGUGAAAGGAAAAUAAAUAUUAAAGCCCCCAAACACUAAGCUAAAAUGAAAGUCAAGCUGGGAACUGCCUAGGGGCAAACCUGCCUCCUAUUCUAUUCAAAGUCAUCCCUCUGCUCACUGAGAUAAAUGCGUAUCUGAUUGCCUCCUUUGGAAAGGUUAAUCAGAAACUCAAAAGAAUGCAACCAUUUGUCUCUUACCUACCUAGAAUCUGGAGGCCCCCUUCUGAAACAAGCCAAUUGUCAUCUUACAUAUAUUGAUUGAUGUCUCUUGUCUCCCUAAAAUGUAUAAAACUGGGACGUGCACAGUGGCUCACGCCGGUAAUCCCAGCACUUCGGGAGACCAAGGUGAGUGGAUCACCUGAGGUCAGAAGUUUGAGACCAGCCUGGCCAACAUGGGAAAACCCCGUCUCUACUAAAAAUACAAAAAUUAGCCAGGUGUGGCGGCGGGCGCCUGUAGUCUCAGCUACUUGGGAGGCUGUGGCAGGAGAAUCACUUGAACCUAGAAGGUGGAGGUUGCAGUGAGCCGAGAUCACACCACUGCACUCCAGCCAAGGUGACAGAGUGAGACUCCGUCUCAAAAAAAAAAAAAAAAAA